UCGUAACAAGGUCUCCGUUGGUGAACCAGCGGAGGGAUCAUUACCGAGUUUACAACUCCCAAACCCAAUGUGAACGUUACCAAUCUGUUGCCUCGGCGGGAUUCUCUGCCCCGGGCGCGUCGCAGCCCCGGAUCCCAUGGCGCCCGCCGGAGGACCAACUCAAACUCUUUUUUCUCUCCGUCGCGGCCUACGUCGCGGCUCUGUUUUAUUUUUGCUCUGAGCCUUUCUCGGCGACCCUAGCGGGCGUCUCGAAAAUGAAUCAAAACUUUCAACAACGGAUCUCUUGGUUCUGGCAUCGAUGAAGAACGCAGCGAAAUGCGAUAAGUAAUGUGAAUUGCAGAAUUCAGUGAAUCAUCGAAUCUUUGAACGCACAUUGCGCCCGCCAGUAUUCUGGCGGGCAUGCCUGUCCGAGCGUCAUUUCAACCCUCGAACCCCUCCGGGGGGUCGGCGUUGGGGAUCGGCCCCUCACCGGGCCGCCCCCGAAAUACAGUGGCGGUCUCGCCGCAGCCUCUCCUGCGCAGUAGUUUGCACACUCGCACCGGGAGCGCGGCGCGGCCACAGCCGUAAAACACCCCAAACUCUGAAAUGUUGACCUCGGAUCAGGUAGGAAUACCCGCUGAACUUAAGCAUAUCA
rnacentral:misc_RNA from 1 species